GUCGUCAGCCAGUUCACGAUGCGCUCUUCCUGCCACAGGAUGACGGCUUCCAUCUCAUCACUGUCUGCUUGGUCCAUAAAGCUGCAGGUGAACAGGCAUGAAGAUCCUCAAAUAGGCGACAAGAAGCGCCGGCACAAGAUCAACAUGGGACAGGACACAGACUGGAACAGAAAGCAGAUGGACAAUAAAGCCACUGGACAUCAUCCAGGCAUCGAUACCCCAACCCCCUCCACCUUCCUUUCCUGCCCUCACCAAAUGGUUGAACUCACGAAUCCUGUUUCCAACACUGCUGCUGACACAGCAAACCACCUAUCAGAACAUAAGACAGAGGGAGCAGAGCAGCCCGACCCUUCGAGAAUAGAGGUGGUGUCAGUGACGGAGGAAGACCUCCCCACUGUUGAGACCCCCAGCACAGUUAAUGUCAGCCCACUGGGAAGUUUUACUGCUGACAGCCAGUCAGACAACAAUUCGGCCAGACCUGAAGAUCUUCAACCUGCACCCAGUCCCACCAUGCCAGUCACUAAGGUGCAACCAUUUAUGCGAGAUGAGGACUUGCAGAAAAGCUGGAAGGAGAGACUGGUGGCUCAUCGCUUUGAGCUGCUGAUUGCUUCCUGCAUCCUCUUGGUAGUCACUCUCACUCUCAGCAUCGGACUUGGAGUGGGUCUGAGCUGUGUGGGCAGGUUUCGCUGCGGCUCGUCGUCUCAGUGCAUCAGCUACUCUGCUCAGUGUGAUGGAAAAGUGAACUGUGACAAUGGAGAGGAUGAGCUUGGCUGUGUGCGUUUGAGUGGGCGGAGCUCAGUGCUGCAGGUCCAGAAAGGGGGGGUAUGGAGGACAGUUUGCUCAGAAGACUGGAACAACUGGCUUGGGGUCUGUGCCUGCAAACAGUUGGGUUACUCAAGGUAUGUGGAGUCAUUCUUCAUUUCUCUGAACUCCAUUGAACAAGAACUUCAGAACAAUCUUGUGUCCAUCAACUUGAGCCAGUCACAGAUCAGCAAGCUCCAGAACGCCACAAUCUUCAGUAAGACUCAGUGCAGCUCAGGCAAAGUGACCACUCUGAAAUGUCUGGAGUGUGGUUUCAGACCUCAGUACAACACUCGUAUUGUUGGAGGCAACAUCUCUAAACCAGGUCAGUUCCCCUGGCAGGUCAGUCUCCACUACAACAGUGAGCACCUAUGUGGAGGCUCAAUCAUAACAUCCCACUGGAUCCUCACUGCAGCACACUGUGUGUAUGGGUUUGCAGACCCAUCCAUGUGGGCUGUCCAUGUGGGCCUGACAGUGCAACCAGACAACGGGGCCCAAUCGCUAGCUGUGGAGCAGAUUAUCUACCAUGCUCGAUACCGGCCCAAAAAACUGGACUUUGACAUUGCACUGAUGAAACUUGCAGUGCCACUUGUUUUCAAUGGCUUUGUGGAGCCCAUCUGCCUGCCUAACCAUGGGGAGGAUUUUGUGGAGGGCACACUGUGCUGGAUCUCUGGAUGGGGAGCAACAGAGGCAGAUGGAGAGUCCAGUGUGGUUCUACGCUCAGCCAUGGUUCCACUCCUCUCCACCAAGACCUGCAACCAGCCAGAAGUUUACAAAGGCUUUAUCUCCUCCUGGAUGCUAUGUGCUGGAUAUCUGGAGGGAGGAGUUGACUCUUGUCAGGCGUGUUUCCUCAGGGAGACAGCGGUGGUCCUCUGGCCUGUGAGGAUGCAUCUGUGUGGAAGCUGGUUGGAGCAACCAGCUGGGGGAUUGGAUGUGCUAUGAGGAACAAGCCAGGCGUUUAUACUCGCAUCACUCAGUCACUUAGCUGGAUCCACCAACAGAUGGAGAGAGAAGAGGAUCAUGUUUCGCCCACAGUGAGCACAAACAACUGAAUCUGCUGCAGCUCGUCCUUACUGGAAUCUGUUAGGAUUUUUUACUUUGACAAAGCCGGUACCACAGCAAAAUGAAAGAGCCUGGAAACCAAUCUGAGACUGAGACAGAGUGAAGAGACUGUGCACAUCAGAGUUAGGCAUC